rnacentral:rRNA from 1 species
AGCGGCAAACGGGUGAGUAACACGUGGCCAACCUGCCUCCGCGACGGGGACAACCCUCCGAAAGGAGGGCUAAUACCCGAUGGUCUUCUUGGGGCGCGAGCCUCGGGAAGUAAAGGCGCUUCGGCGCCACGCGGGGAAGGGGCUGCGGCCCAUCAGCUAGUUGGCGGGGUAAUGGCCCACCAAGGCGAUGACGGGUAGGGGGCCUGAGAGGGCGGCCCCUCACAUGGGGACUGAGACACGGCUCCGACUCCUACGGGAGGCAGCAGUGGGGAAUCUUGGGCAAUGGGCGAAAGCCUGACCCAGCGACGCCGCGUGGGGGACGAAACCCUUCGGGGUGUAAACCCCUUUUCUGGGGGAAGAAUAAAGCGGGGAGGGAAUGCCUCGCCGAUGACGGUACCCCAGGAAUAAGCCCCGGCUAACUACGUGCCAGCAGCCGCGGUAAGACGUAGGGGGCGAGCGUUACCCGGAAUCACUGGGCGUAAAGGGCGCGUAGGCGGUUCGGUAAGUCGUCUGUGAAAGCCCCCGGCUCAACUGGGGGAGGUCGGACGAAACUACCGGGCUGGAGGACGGCAGAGGAAGGUGGAACGGCCGGAGUAGCGGUGAAAUGCGUAGAUACCGGCCGGUAUCCCGAUGGCGAAGGCAACCUUCUGGGUCGUUCCUGACGCUGAGGCGCGAAAGCGUGGGGANCAAACCGGAUUAGAUACCCGGGGUAGUCCACGCCCUAAACGAUGUGGGCUAGGUGUCNGGCGANCAGUCGCUUGGUGCCNCANUUACGCGUUNANNCCACCGCCUGGGNAACUACGGCCGCAAGGCUAAAACUCAGAU